ACGCAGAUGGUCUCGGUAAAGAUGGUGGGCAACGCAAGCGAAGGAGCAGGUGGUGAAAGCUCCACGAGAGGCUUCGCUGGUAUGAGUCUGUUCGUUUCCUUGUUUUUCGAGUUUUAUUUUAUCGUCAUAACAUUUCUUUUUCCAGGAAACACCAUCGAACUGCGGAAGAUUAUUAGUCUGUCCAUUUUCCCCGUUUCUUGAAAUUUCUCGCCAUACGAUUUCUUUUUUCCCGCUAUGAGCAACGAAUCGGUGUAGGGUUGGUUCAGUUAUUGAUCUCGAUCCACUUCUUGCUUGAUUUUUCCUUUCCCUUUUUUUUUUUAAUUUCUUUGAUAUAGGGAUUCGCGUCUUCUUAGGGGCUAUGAUCCGAAGUGGUGUCAUUCGUAUUACCGAAUCGUUUUGGUUUCUGCUAAUUUUGAUUCCAGUAAGGCAGGAAGAUGCAUUUCGACUUACCAUCAUCGCAUUGUCCUCUUCUUCUUACAACAUGAACACGGUUUUCUUGGAUCCUUUUAUUUUAGAUUAGAGAGAGUGCUGCCGUGUUCUUAAACUUUCCUGUUAGCAGAAUAGCAUGGUAAGUAGUGUACUUUGUUCAAGAUUUGCAAUUACUUGGAUAGAAAUCUCAAGUAAAUGACAUUCCUCACCUGUACUUUUGGCAUCAGAUCCUAAAUAAAUGAAACAUGGAUUACCUAAUUUAUGAAAUAGGAUAGAAGAGAGAUCAAAAGGGAUUAACUGCUUACAAUAUCUCUUUGGUUUGGUGGGCACAAAUGCUACAUUGAUGGCUUCCUUCCUAGUCGUAUAUGAAAUAAGAUAGAAGAGAGACUGCUAAUCUUUUGGGGUUGGGUCGAUCCGACUUUGUAAAAGAAGUAGUGCCCUAAAAGCUUGUAUCAACCAUAAAGAUAUCCGAGUCAGACACAGGCGAGUAUAAUAUUUGAUAAUAAAAGUUGCGGAAUCAUACGUUUUACAUGUAUUUAUUUUCAUCAUUUAUCUACAAUGAUGACUAUAUAUAUAUAUAUAUAUACAGAAGAAUUUUUCCAGAUGUCAUGACGUUAACCAUGUAUUUCAAAAGUACAUAAAAAUAAAUUAUUCCAGGCUAGCCUAAUAAUGUUGGUCUCGUUUCAAAAAAAAUUUAAUACUCAUGUCACGACCUUAACCAUGUAUUCAAAAGUAUACAAAAGUAAAUAUUAAACUUCUAACCUAUUUUCGACUCAUGGUGCAUUUCCGUAGAUGCUCUCUAAUUCCAAAUUUAGCAUGCAAUAAAUAUAUCAAAACUGAUACCGAUAUAGAGCUAGCAAUAGGUCUCGAAAGAUAGGUGGGAUGUCACUCGCGAGAAUCAAAUGUAUAGACAUUCGUGUUAUCCAUAUUUAAUGGACUCUUGGAGACCUUAAUGAUUUCAUUAUCCGAGAUGACAAAUCCUCUCUCUCUCUCUCUCUCUCUCUCCCUCUCUCUCUCUCUUUUGUUUAUUAUUUCCAUAUACAAUUGUUCCUUCUGUGCAUAUUAGGCCGUGAUCUAUUUUCUAUUUCACUCAAGUUGUAUAUUUUCUUAGUAAGUUAUCCUCUGUUUGAUAUGCACAUCAACCAAAUAUCAUCCAUCUUUCAGGUUCAAACAAAUUUUGAUAAACCUUAAAAUGAUACAUGGAAGAACUAGUGUAUAAAUAACCUUGAGUUGUAGGCUUUAUCUUUCUUCUCACAAGUAACUUGAGAUAUUUUUGGUUUAUCGUUAAAAUCUUAUUGACUAAUUCGUUUAGUCCGAUCUAUAUUAUUUGCAUUAUUUAUUAUAUAAUCAGUAAUAUUCUGUCAAGUUAUUUAUUAGUAGGUUCAGGCAAACCCAAGUUUAUAUAAAAUUAACAUCACUGUCGUAAAACAACUUGCUACUGACAUUAAGCUCAUUGUGCCACGCUACAGUGGUCAUAUUGCAUUUAAGAAAGCACUAGUUGAACUCAAUUCUCAUAGGUUACCUCUUCUCAUUAUAUAUACUAGUGAUGAAGCUUCUAAGACAAUACCUCAUAUUUUGAACAACUGGUGGAAUAAGGUUCUAUCAUCCAUAUGAGAUGAAAUGAGACAUACAAAGUUGUGAAUACGCCUGCCCAAAACAUCAAUGAAAAUCAUGUAUGCUUGUCAUUCUCUCAUGUCAUAAGUUGAAGUUUCUUUCGCUAAUCACCUUUAAUUGCAUAUACAGUCUCAAGUUAUGGGUUGGAGUGAUAUGCAUGUGUCCAGUGACGUCCGUGUUUCGUCAUAGUGGCUGCAAGCAUGUUUGGGCUUAGGAUUACUAGUCCAACCCCUCUGGUGGGUUGAAAUUAUGGGUGAAGACUGCUAAAGUAGAAGUGCUGACCUCGUUGUGGCUCCCUACAUGUUUGAUUCUCUUUUUUUUUUUGCAGUAUUACAGUGGAGCUCAUAAGGUGAUAUUACCAUCUAAAUUGAAGCAAACAAAUCGAUUAAAACAUAUAAAUUUAGUAUUAGUUUAAGUAUAUUACCAUUACACUUUUUGAGUGUUGUUCCUAAUAUAUUAUAGAAAAAAACAUCAAAAUGUCAACAGUUUUGA
rnacentral:lncRNA from 1 species